rnacentral:lncRNA from 1 species
UCGAAUGCUAUGUUGAUGACAUGAUAGCAAAGUCCCAAGCAGGAAAGGGGCAUCUGGUAGACCGGGGCAAGUCGUUUGACCGGUGGAGAUAAUUCAGACUGAGGUUGAAUUCAGAUAAGUGCACUUUCAGAGUGCGAGCCGGUAAGCUGCUGGGGGUUUAUUGUAAAUAAGAAAGGAAUCGAGGUUGAUCCUGUUUAAAAAAAAAAAAAAA